UCUGGGAUGUUAUAAACUACUUUAUUUGUAGUUUCUUCUUUCUUUUGUAGAAUGAUUAUUUCUAUUCCUUCUAUUUGUUUUUCAAUUGGUCUGAGAGUAAUAUUUGUAAACUUCUAUUAUUCUACAAUUUGCUCUAGAUGUUCUACUUUUGCAUUUUCAUUGUGUCCUUUAUUGGAUACUUUUAGAGGACUAGCUCAUACUCCUCCCUCGACCUAUUCUAUUUCAAAGGAUGGAUACAUCGAUUCAUCCCCUUAGCACUCUUCCAUAUUUUAGAAAGAUGAUUAUUGCCACUUG
rnacentral:lncRNA from 1 species